rnacentral:rRNA from 1 species
CAUGUGUCCGGGAUAACUGCUGGAAACGGUAGCUAAAACCGGAUAGGUAUACGGAGCGCAUGCUCUGUAUAUUAAAGCGCCCAUCAAGGCGUGAACAUGGAUGGACCUGCGGCGCAUUAGCUAGUUGGUGAGGUAACGGCCCACCAAGGCGAUGAUGCGUAGCCGGCCUGAGGGGGUAAACGGCCACAUUGGGACUGAGACACGGCCCAAACUCCUACGGGAGGCAGCAGUAGGGAAUUUUCGUCAAUGGGGGAAACCCUGAACGAGAAUGCCGCGUGAGUGAAGAAGGUCUUCGGAUCGUAAAGCUCUGUUGUAAGUGAAGAACGGCUCAUAGAGGAAAUGCUAUGGGAGUGACGGUAGCUUACCAGAAAGCCACGGCUAACUACGUGCCAGCAGCCGCGGUAAUACGUAGGUGGCAAGCGUUAUCCGGAAUCAUUGGGCGUAAAGGGUGCGUAGGUGGCGUACUAAGUCUGUAGUAAAAGGCAAUGGCUCAACCAUUGUAAGCUAUGGAAACUGGUAUGCUGGAGUGCAGAAAAGGGCGAUGGAAUUCCAUGUGUAGCGGUAAAAUGCGUAGAUAUAUGGAGGAACACCAGUGGCGAAGGCGGUCGCCUGGUCUGUAACUGACACUGAGGCACGAAAGCGUGGAAAAAAUAGGGAUUAGAUACCCCUCGUCGUCCACGCCUCAAAAGGGGAACUAAGUGUUGGAGGAAUUCAGUGCUGCAGUUAACGCAAUAAGUUCUCCGCCUGGGGAGUAUGCACGCAAGUGUGAAACUCAAAGGAAUUGACGGGGGCCCGCACAAGCGGUGGAGUAUGUGGUUUAAUUCGAAGCAACGCGAAGAACCUUACCAGGCCUUGACAUGGAAACAAAUACCCUAGAGAUAGGGGGAUAAUUAUGGAUCACACAGGUGGUGCAUGGUUGUCGUCAGCUCGUGUCGUGAGAUGUUGGGUUAAGUCCCGCAACGAGCGCAACCCUUGUCGCAUGUUACCAGCAUCAAGUUGGGGACUCAUGCGAGACUGCCGGUGACAAACCGGAGGAAGGUGGGGAUGACGUCAAAUCAUCAUGCCCCUUAUGGCCUGGGCUACACACGUACUACAAUGGCGACCACAAAGAGCAGCGACUUGGUGACAAGAAGCGAAUCUCAUAAAGGUCGUCUCAGUUCGGAUUGAAGUCUGCAACUCGACUUCAUGAAGUCGGAAUCGCUAGUAAUCGCAGAUCAGCAUGCUGCGGUGAAU